AUACGUAGGUGACAAGCGUUAUCCGGAUUUACUGGGCGUAAAGGGCGUGUAGGCGGUCUUGCGAGUCAGAAGUGAAAUUCCUGAGCUCAACUCGGGCGCUGCUUCUGAAACUGCAGGACUUGAGUGCUGGAGGGGAUAGCGGAAUUCCUAGUGGAGCGGUAAAAUGCGCAGAUAUUAGGAAGAACACCGGUGGCGAAGGCGGCUAUCUGGACAGUAACUGACGCUGAGGCGCGAAAGCGUGGGGAGCAAACAGGAUUAGAUACCCUGGUAGUCCACGCCCUAAACGAUGAAUGCUAGGUGUAGGGGAGUCAUCUUCUGUGCCGCAGCUAACGCAAUAAGCAUUCCACCUGGGGAGUACGGCCGCAAGGUUGAAACUCAAAUGAAUUGGCGGGG
rnacentral:rRNA from 1 species